rnacentral:lncRNA from 1 species
AAAUCUCGGUUGUGUUUGGAGCUCAGUAUUUAAUCAUCUGUGGGCCUCAGGAGAGAUGUGGAGUCCUCAUCACGGGGUUGCCUGGUGAUUAUGGAAUAAGCGGGGGACUUACAGAGACUCAGCAUUCAGGGGAACCAGGCCACCACAUCCCAGACGUGAGUACCUGUGCAAAAUUCAUUCAUUCCUCCGUCUUGGACGUGUUUACUGAGCACCUGCGACGUGCCAGGCACUAGGGGUGCUGCAGCGGA